GUCAAAUUUACAUUUUACUGCAUGACAUCGAUCGCGAAAGAAUUUGUCCAACCCAUCACACCAU
rnacentral:tRNA from 1 species